CAUGCAAAUAAAGCAUAAGCAGGUCACAUAGAAGGACUUGCGUCAGAGUCCUCCUCCUCUACCUCAGUAUCACCACCUGCAAUAUCAUUAAGAACACCAGGAUUGACAUUGAAAAAACACCUUGAGGUCAACAAUCAUUUGCUUCCUAGGCAAAACAUCAGUUGACUAAUUGACAGAUGAUGCAGCACAAUCUGCAGCAUGUGUACCCUCAAACAGUCUAAAAUCAAAAGACAAAUCACAACCUCUCUUACUAGGAACACCAGCCUUAGUACAACUGUCAGGAUGUUGAGCUAGAAUAAUGUCACACAUCAGUGUAGGAAAGACUAUAGGCAUCUUCACAGUACAUGACUUACCAUGCAGAACAGUUUCAUCAAGAAUAUAAGAACCAAA
rnacentral:lncRNA from 1 species